rnacentral:rRNA from 1 species
GACGAACGCUGGCGGCGUGCCUAACACAUGCAAGUCGAACGAGGUCCAAGGAAGCUUGCUUCCUGAAGACCUAGUGGCGAACGGGUGAGUAACACGUGAGAAACCUGCCUCGGAGUGGGGAAUAACUCGGGGAAACUCGAGCUAAUACCGCAUACCUUCACAUGAUCGCAUGGUCGAGUGAAGAAAGAAUUUCGCUCUGAGAGGGUCUCGCGGCCUAAUCAGCUUGUUGGUGGGUAAACGGCCUACCAAGGCAACGACGGGUAGCUGGUUUGAGAGAACGAUCAGCCACACUGGGACUGAGACACGGCCCAGACUCCUACGGGAGGCAGCAGUGGGGAAUCUUGCGCAAUGGGCGAAAGCCUGACGCAGCAAACGCCGCGUGCGGGAUGACGGCCUCUG